UGAAUGUUAACAAGAUCCAUUUUAGGAGU
rnacentral:piRNA from 1 species